rnacentral:rRNA from 1 species
UCUGGUGACAAUAGUGGAAGUGUAACACCCGAUCCCAUUCCGAACUCGGCAGUUAAGCCUUCUCACGUCGAUGAUACUGCCUCUCCAAGGGGCGGGAAAGUAGAAAGUUGCCAGAC